CGUAAACAAGGAUAAACGAAAAGAAAACAGCAUCGUCGAAAACGUUUCAGCAGUUGUGUUCGCCAUUGCAUUUCGCGAUAGUUUCGUCGGCAAAAGCAUCCCGUCAUUCGUCUGAAUCGUGGAACCGGAGCCAUCAGAGAACGAGCGCUUUAGCGGUAUCGCUUAAAGAUAGCCAAGGUGUACGGUUCAAUCGCGACAACAACAUCCAAGUGGAUCAAGGAGCAAGCCGAGUAAAACCGAAGAUCACCGCAGCGUCAAGAGCGAGUAAUAGAAGGCGAAAAGAAAAAACGCAGCAACAGCAAACACAACAAAAGGAGCCCAGUGCGAAGGCCAGCGGCAUCCGAGAAGACCAUUCGACAGACGGUCGGAACGAUAAAUUGUGCAGGAAAGACGGCCCCAAUCGGGGUCGUUUUUGGAGAACUGAAUUCUCUUUUUUCGAGACUCGUUUUUGUGCCAUUUCUGGCUUUUUCGAGUCUCGUUUUUGAGAACGGAAUUCCCGACGCCGUGAAACUCCAACGAUUUGGAUCCAGCCGGAAGCAGUCUACGGAGGUGCUCCGGGCAGUGGUGCGUGCCCGUGGAGCCGAGCAACCAGCCAGUGUUGCCAGAUAUUCCCGUGAUCAUCAGCUGUGAUAAACCUGUGUCGUCCGAUAGCUGUGAUAUGACUGUUGUGCGUUUGGGAUGUAAAGUUUGUGAACUAUGGUAGGAAACGGGCCCGUGAGUAGUUAUUAUGUAAGCUAGCUUAAGUUUUUAAAAUGUCGUGUGUAAGUAAAUAAUUAUAAUUGCUACAGAUUUGGGUUUUGAGUGUUUGUGUUUUGGGUAAAAGUUAGCCGAGCAGCACACACUGAAAGUCAGUGGUGCUCAACCUGUUUCAUUGGCGCCCAACACAAAAACCCACUAAA